rnacentral:rRNA from 2 species
GGACUACUGGGGUAUCUAAUCCUGUUCGCUCCCCACGCUUUCGUGCCUCAGUGUCAGAACUAGCCCAGUCACCUGUCUUCACCAUCGGCGUUCCUGACGAUAUCUACGCAUUUCACCGCUCCACCGUCAGUUCCAGUGACCUCCACUAGCCUCAAGUCCGCCAGUAUCCGAAGCAUUUCCUGGGUUGAGCCCAGGGAUUUCACAACGGACUUAACGGACCACCUACGCACCCUUUAAACCCAGUGAUUCUCAGUAACGCUUGGGGCCUCUGUAUUACCGCGGCUGCUGGCAC